GCCCGGCUAGCUCAAUCGGUAGAGCGUGAGACUCUUAAGCUAGGGUUCUCCGGCAUCUCAAGGUUGUGGGUUCGACCCCCACGUCGGGCU